rnacentral:tRNA from 1 species
AAAUAAGAAGCAAAAAAAAUUUGUAAUUAGUUUCGACCUAAUUUUUGAUAUUAAUUUAUCCUUAUUUU